GCUGGAUGUGGUGGUGCGCACCUGUACUCCCAGCUACUUGGGAAGCUGAGGCAAGAGAAUCGUUUGAACCCGGGAGGCUGAGGUUGCAGUGAGCCAAGAUCGCGCCACUGAACUCCAGCCUGGGUUACAGAGCGAGACUCCGUCUCUC
rnacentral:SRP_RNA from 1 species